CUUGCUACUUUGCUGACGAGCGGCGGACGGGUGAGUAAUGCUUGGGAACAUGCCUUGAGGUGGGGGACAACAGUUGGAAACGACUGCUAAUACCGCAUAAUGUCUACGGACCAAAGGGGGCUUCGGCUCUCGCCUUUAGAUUGGCCCAAGUGGGAUUAGCUAGUUGGUGAGGUAAUGGCUCACCAAGGCGACGAUCCCUAGCUGGUUUGAGAGGAUGAUCAGCCACACUGGGACUGAGACACGGCCCAGACUCCUACGGGAGGCAGCAGUGGGGAAUAUUGCACAAUGGGCGCAAGCCUGAUGCAGCCAUGCCGCGUGUGUGAAGAAGGCCUUCGGGUUGUAAAGCACUUUCAGUCAGGAGGAAAGCGUGGUGGUUAAUACCCAUCAUGUGUGACGUUACUGACAGAAGAAGCACCGGCUAACUCCGUGCCAGCAGCCGCGGUAAUACGGAGGGUGCGAGCGUUAAUCGGAAUUACUGGGCGUAAAGCGUACGCAGGCGGUUUGUUAAGCGAGAUGUGAAAGCCCCGGGCUC
rnacentral:rRNA from 1 species